rnacentral:rRNA from 1 species
GACGAACGCUGGCGGCGUGCCUAAUACAUGCAAGUAGAACGCACAGUUUAUACCGUAGCUUGCUACACCAUAGACUGUGAGUUGCGAACGGGUGAGUAACGCGUAGGUAACCUGCCUGGUAGCGGGGGAUAACUAUUGGAAACGAUAGCUAAUACCGCAUAAUAUUAAUUAUUGCAUGAUAAUUAAUUGAAAGGUGCAAUUGCACCACUACCAGAUGGACCUGCGUUGUAUUAGCUAGUAGGUGAGGUAACGGCUCACCUAGGCGACGAUACAUAGCCGACCUGAGAGGGUGAUCGGCCACACUGGGACUGAGACACGGCCCAGACUCCUACGGGAGGCAGCAGUAGGGAAUCUUCGGCAAUGGACGAAAGUCUGACCGAGCAACGCCGCGUGAGUGAAGAAGGUUUUCGGAUCGUAAAGCUCUGUUGUAAGAGAAGAACGGGUGCGAGAGUGGAAAGUUCACACUGUGACGGUAUCUUACCAGAAAGGGGCGGCUAACUACGUG